rnacentral:rRNA from 1 species
GCCGGAGAGGGACCACGGGGUAUCGAGGUCUCGACAGCACGCCGGUCGCGUGGUCAUGGUUUCAAGCGCUUAAGAAGCCGGCUGCGCCGUACCCGUGUAGUGGGAUGGAGGGAGGAGGAGGUGAACCAGAAGGGGGGUGGCUAGGUUGCUCCGUCUGUCCCUUUGAAGGAGCGAUGGGGUGGGGCGGCGGGUGGGGGAGGAGGCCGAGCGGCUGCCUCCCCUAGCGGCUGCGGCUGCGGCUGCGGCGGUACCGAAGGUGGAGGAGGUUCGUGCGGUUCGUGGCGGCCUAGCCUCUCCUGCUGCUGCUGCUGCUCCUCCUCCGGCUCCUUCUCGAGCCCGCCAAACUACUAAAGUGGUAACGAAGUAGAACCCUCUCCAAAUAUAGACUCUAUCUCCGUUAAACAGCAGUUACCGAUCGUCUACCGGGUUUCUAGAACUACGUUUUUCCACGUCUCUGACACGGAAGGAAACUUUUGAACAUGUACCAGUUCGCACUUGACUUCGUACCCUUUUCUCAGAUGACAUACCUCAUAGUAAAAUCCUUUAGACGUUUUCCGUUUAUAAGCAUGACCCUACUACUAUGUGUAUCAUGUGUUGAUAGGAAACCUCAUCUACUCAAAGACUAUUAACGAGGGAACUCACGGUCGCCACAACAAGAACUACUAGGACUUAGUUGAUUCGAAAACUCAAGACAUCGUUAACGUAACAGAUUAACACCGUCGUUAACCGGUCGUAAACAUGGACAAGUACUGGGAAGUGCUUUUCGUAUAUAUCCUUAAGUUUUGUACCCUUGACAUAAAUGAGCUUCUAAACUUCGACUAGCUUAACCAUCGGUCCAGGAUAGGAGUUGUCUAAAAGGUCGUUUCCAAUUCCAUUUGAAGAGCUACUUCGAAUGGAUGUCUUGAGGACUUGUACUAAUACUAGUACUCCUCUGAAACCUAAGACUUCGAUGGCUCAGUUAUGGUCUUUCACUUCAACGUUCGGUUGGGUCUUUUGUUACCCUACUACUAACGGGAACCCGUCUCACCAUGAGACGGCUCCUAGGACAAUUUCCAAAACUCAACUGUUGGUAAACCCCUCUCUUUUACAAACUUCUCUCGAAACUCUACCGACUCCACCUUUUACGAAGCAGCAAACUACGACUAUCAACCGAAGAAGUUGGUCACCACAGAGGUAUGUACCAACUACUAAGAUAACCCUUCAAACAACCCAAACGUAGGGUCGAUGUAGACGAUCAUUUACGUAAACUUAGCAGUCGUCUCCGUGUUAAAAACCUUCUAAAACAGCGUCUAUUAAGUCCGGUUCUGUUAAGUUUUAGAAGACAACGACACGGAGGUGGUAGACAGUAACUAGCACAAUACUUUCUAGAAAAGUUACUACUCCAACCUUUGAGUUUAAUACACCUUGGUCUUUUGUUCAUACCAGCGCGAAACUUUCCUCGUGGAAGUCUAAGAGAGAAACGAGUCAAGACAAAUGUACGUAACACCAAACCGUUGACGUUAUAUGCACGUUAUCGUCAGAAUACCUAACUAAAACACGCGCUUUAAGCAACCACGACCCUCCUCAGUCUUGCUGAUGGCUCCUACUUUUGGUGAAGAUCGUAACUGGAGAGACGAACACAUUAGGUGGUUUUUGAUGUUUACGAACGCUAUACGUAACUCGCCUUCUUUAGUAACUUAGCAUUCUUCCUAUGACUACUACGUGUAUUUCUUUUCUGAAGUUUAUCGUACCGUGGACUAUUUUAUGCAUUUCCUAGUCGUCCGCAACACGGAAGUUACUACGACUAUUUAUGUAAAGUCCUUUACGUACGAGGUAUAUGAGUCCUACGUGGAAACUACUGUCUUCUAUACGUACUUCUUUCCGAGGUACGUCGACUUCGAAAACCGUUACGACAACCAAAUAGACCAGUUGACCUUUCCCUAUAUAAUAGAAGGCUAUACAGACGAAAAUUUCGACGUUUAGGCCUACGACGAAAACUUCUAAAAUAAGCCACCGUAAGUGGACCACUGACCCACUCACUCCUGUUUUCACUACCAUUAGGUCGGACCGGUGGGUUUCCUUCCGAAAGAGUCGCAUACAGUCUUGUACCCUUAUACACCGCGUUUUAAACCUUACUACGGGGUCGAAACGGACAGAGACUUGUCUUUAGAGACGAACUAAGACAAGCUCUUCCUCUUUUCCACCAAGUAAUGGAACUUUGAAACUCCGGUGUCGUCGAGGAACUCGUUUACCAGACGUGACGAAAGUUUAGUAGUCGACUGUAAGAUUUGUUCUGGUGUAUACCACCGAAGUUUAAUUACUUCUGAUUUUACCUAGUUGAUAUACGAUGUUACCGCAGAUGUAAUUCUAGAGAAGUUCCCUUUAGACUGUGUUCACUAAACCGACCUCUAAACUCCGCUGAAACAGUUCAAAAGCUCGUAUAUCUCUUCAACGACUAAAAACGACGAAGCCAGGUGGCUUUUGAAUAUCUACGAGGUUCUGACCGAGUUAGUUAAAAAUGGCUGAUGAAGUUAAUGAUAGAAGGUUUUUACCCUUGGUCGAACCUUUCAUAAACAAUACUUUUCCUCAAGCGAUCAUUCCUUUUCCACCCCUCCGAACUUUCCCUCCGACAUAGUUCGGACAAAGCAGGGGGAUGACGAUUAGUCAGUACCUCCUUUCAAAACUCGUACCCUUUAGAAAACUUGCCUGUACUUGGUUAUGUUUCUCUCUAGCAUAAGAGUCAAGACCUCUUGGAUUCGUUGCCAGUGAUAAGCUCGGGUUGAGGCAAUACAUGUCUACUUGUCUAACUCUGUGUAUCCUACAUAUAUAGACCGUGCAGAUUACUAGAGACCCAACGAAAUAGACACUGUAGGACCCUGACUCUACAAGUAGUCUGUGUACUUCUUGUUAGUAUCCUCAAUCGGCCUACACAACUAUAACGUCUAGAUAGUUAAGGACCCAACUUCCAACUCACAUGUUCUUUUCGCUAGGAAACCGUACUCUUAUUACCACCGCCGACUUAGCGUUUCGGUCACAAUGCUCUUUUAACUUCACAGUUCACAGUUGAACAAUAGGUACUUUUUGUCAAACUAGACGUACUCCACCGUUCGUUAACCUAGCAGGUCGCUGACCCUAAUUCUUCGGACCUGGUAAAAAGGACUACUGUUUCAACAUCGAAAACACGAACACCCGUAGACCUCUAUACGUCCGACGGUUCGAGGGUACACUAUACUACUAAAUGUCAACGCACGUACUUGGCAAACACGUUCCAGAACAUGUCUAACAAAACAAAUGAGUGGGAGUCACCUCAUCAAUUGACACCAAAGUUCAUAAUGUGGGGGAGGUGACUCCCACUACCGUGAAACAGGUAAAAAAAUCAACGUAAUAUAGGUUUAACUUGUCAUGCAUCAUCAUCUUGAUGUAUACCGGCCACCACAACGGAGCACGGUGACAUGUAGUACCCCCACUACAAUACUAGUUACCACCGCAACUCCCACCGCCCCAACUCACUCCCCUCCCCCUAGGAACAUGUUCUACAGGAAAAACACACGCACGCGCGUGCGCCCCCCACUAUCUUUUCUAUCUGGGACCAAGAUAAAGUAGAGA